rnacentral:lncRNA from 1 species
AUCACACCACAAUCAAGCCACAGCAAAUUUUGCAUUGGGUUUCAACAGAGUACAAAGAUUGUGGGCCUUCCUCAGCAAUAGUACGACAUGAUUGUAAGUUGUGUGUGUUUCUUCAGGAGCUUGGGGAACAUGGAGAUGCACAAACGAGAUCUGUUUUUCCUCUUGUACGCUAGACUUCUCCUUGUUAUUAGUUGAUAUGGGUUUGAAGUUAUUGAGCCACUAUGACUGCAGUUAAGGAGCAAGUUCUCUUAGCUAAGCUCCAUGCAUAUUCCCCUUGUGAGGUUUGCUUAUGAUUUUCAGAAAGUUUCAGACAGGUGGGAUUGAAUCUAACAAAUCACAAUGAAGUCUUAGCUCUGAGUUUGGUUUCAUGUCAUUUGGAGACCCAAAUUAAACCCAUCAGAAGUUGAUGAUCAAGGGCUAGUACUUUGGGUACUUCAAUUAAUGUACAACUAUUUUAUGACGUACACUAAGGAAGGUGGAUUUAAUGUUUCUCUCCCUUGCAUGGGAAGUCAUGUCAUGAGAGCAUUGGAAGUCCUUCUGUUGCAAACUAGAGGGGAAUUAUAUUUGUCAUGAAACAAAAAAGGAACAUCAUGUCCAGUACUGAGUGGGUUUAGGUGCUGGAAGGGAAGCCCCCAAAGCUGGUACAAAAUCAUCUGCACUUGAAGAUCCAGCUAGAGUGUAUUGCAAUGAUCAAUUGAGUUUUUUGAUUUUUUUUUUGAUUUUUUUUUUUUUUUUUUUUUCCCCUCUGUGUUAGUUCCCUUUAUCAUGUAGCAUUUGAGAUGUUGGCAUAGAAACCAGAAAUUUGGGCACAAAAUUUGCACAGUAAAUCCCUCUUGUGAUAUGAGACCUUGUUGGUACUUGUUCCAAAGUAAGAACAAACAUGGCUGGAUGCUCAUAUUAGCAAAAUGCUCAACAACAUCAUGCUGUGUGGAAUGCAGAUCUAAGUUAAGAUUGGAGGUGGUUUUGAGUUCCUCUGACAAAAUCAACAAUCCCAAUCCAUGUUUUUAUUUGAUGAAACAAAACUGAAGUUUGAAGAUCAAUGCUUUGGGGCACACCCCAGCCAUGUCAAAAAAAUACUAGAAAACUAAAGUUAGUGUGGAUAUUCUUAAUUGCUUGGUGUGUUGCAAAUGCUAGGAUAGAUUUUUAUCCUCAAAAUCAUGUUCAGCAACUUGGAAGAUUUCAAUAUUACAUACUUUGAGACUUAUUAGUGAUGUUGCACACCUACUUCAGCUCAUCAUUUCACAUAGCAAGCUUGAUGGAUAAUGUCCAAUUACUAAUUCUGAGCAUGUCUCGUAGAUUGUAUACUUAUAUAUAUAUAUAUAUAUAUACAGAGAGGAACAUAGAAAGG